GAAAUGCGAUAAGUAAUGUGAAUUGCAGAAUUCAGUGAAUCAUCGAAUCUUUGAACGCACAUUGCGCCCGCCAGUAUUCUGGCGGGCAUGCCUGUCCGAGCGUCAUUUCAACCAUCAAGCCCCCGGGCUUGUGUUGGGGACCUGCGGCUGCCCGCAGGCCCUGAAAACCAGUGGCGGGCUCGCUGUCACACCGAGCGUAGUAGCAAUCACCUCGCUCAGGGCGUGCUGCGGGUUCCGGCCGUUAAACAGCCUUACAAAACCCAAGGUUGACCUCGGAUCAGGUACGAAGACCCGCUGAACUUAAGC
rnacentral:misc_RNA from 1 species